rnacentral:rRNA from 1 species
CGACGGUGAAGUCCCUUGCGGAUGGAGCUAUUGAGAGUCGCAGAUACCAGGUGGCUGCAACUGUUUAUUAAAAACACAGCACUGUGCAAAAUCGUAAGAUGACGUAUACGGUGUGACGCCUGCCCGGUGCCGGAAGGUUAAUUGAUGGGGUUAGACUUCGGUCGAAGCUCUUGAUCGAAGCCCCGGUAAACGGCGGCCGUAACUAUAACGGUCCUAAGGUAGCGAAAUUCCUUGUCGGGUAAGUUCCGACCUGCACGAAUGGCGUAAUGAUGGCCACGCUGUCUCCACCCGAGACUCAGUGAAAUUGAAAUCGCUGUGAAGAUGCAGUGUACCCGCGGCUAGACGGAAAGACCCCGUGAACCUUUACUACAGCUUGGCACUGAACAUUGACCCUACAUGUGUAGGAUAGGUGGGAGGCUUUGAAGCAGGUACGCCAGUAUCUGUGGAGCCGUCCUUGAAAUACCACCCUUGUAGUGUUGAUGUUCUAACGUCGACCCCUAAUCGGGGUUGCGGACAGUGCCUGGUGGGUAGUUUGACUGGGGCGGUCUCCUCCCAAAGAGUAACGGAGGAGCACGAAGGUGGGCUAAUCACGGUUGGACAUCGUGAGGUUAGUGCAAUGGCAUAAGCCCGCUUGACUGCGAGAAUGACAAUUCGAGCAGGUGCGAAAGCAGGUCAUAGUGAUCCGGUGGUUCUGAAUGGAAGGGCCAUCGCUCAACGGAUAAAAGGUACUCCGGGGAUAACAGGCUGAUACCGCCCAAGAGUUCAUAUCGACGGCGGUGUUUGGCACCUCGAUGUCGGCUCAUCACAUCCUGGGGCUGAAGUCGGUCCCAAGGGUAUGGCUGUUCGCCAUUUAAAGUGGUACGCGAGCUGGGUUUAGAACGUCGUGAGACAGUUCGGUCCCUAUCUGCCGUGGGCGUUGGAAGAUUGAAGGGGGCUGCUCCUAGUACGAGAGGACCGGAGUGGACGAACCUCUGGUGUUCGGGUUGUGUCGCCAGACGCAUUGCCCGGUAGCUAAGUUCGGAAUCGAUAACCGCUGAAAGCAUCUAAGCGGGAAGCGAGCCCUGAGAUGAGUCUUCCCUGAUACUUUAAGUAUCCUAAAGGGUUGUCGGAGACUACGACGUUGAUAGGUCAGGUGUGUAAGUGCUGUGAGGCAUUGAGCUAACUGAUACUAAUUGCCCGUGAGGCUUAACCAUACAACACCCAAGGGGUUU